rnacentral:rRNA from 1 species
CAGUAGCCGCGGUAAUACGUAGGGUGCAAGCGUUAAUCGGAAUUACUGGGCGUAAAGCGUGCGCAGGCGGUUAUAUAAGUCAGAUGUGAAAUCCCCGGGCUCAACCUGGGAACUGCAUUUGAGACUGUAUGGCUAGAGUGCGUCAGAGGGGGGUAGAACUCCACGUGUAGCAGUGAAAUGCGUAGAUAUGUGGAGGAAUACCGAUGGCGAAGGCAGCCCCCUGGGAUAACACUGACGCUCAUGCACGAAAGCGUGGGGAGCAAACAGGAUUAGAUACCCCUGUAGUCCCUGUCUCUUAUAA